CAGUCGCCGCGGGAAUACGAAGGGUGCAAGCGUUACUCGGAAUUACUGGGCGUAAAGCGUGUGUAGGUGGUUGUUUAAGUCUGUCGUGAAGGCCCUGGGCUCAACCUGGGAAUUGCGAUGGAUACUGGGCGACUAGAGUGCGGUAGAGGAUAGUGGAAUUUCCGGUGUAGCAGUGAAAUGCGUAGAGAUCGGAAGGAACAUCUGUGGCGAAGGCGACUAUCUGGGCCAACACUGACACUGAGACACGAAAGCGUGGGGAGCAAACAGGAUUAGAUACCCCUGUAGUCCCUGUCUCUUAUAA
rnacentral:rRNA from 1 species